UACGUAGGGGGCAAGCGUUGUCCGGAUUUAUUGGGCGUAAAGAGCGUGUAGGCGGCCUGACAGGUCUGCUGUGAAAACUCGAGGCUCAACCUCGAGAUGUCGGCGGAAACCGUCUGGCUAGAGUCCGGAAGAGGAGAGUGGAAUUCCUGGUGUAGCAGUGAAAUGCGUAGAUACCAGGAGGAAUACCGAUGGCGAAGGCAGGUCUCUGGGCUGACACUGACGCUCAUGCACGAAAGCGUGGGGAGCAAACAGG
rnacentral:rRNA from 1 species